UACGUAGGGUGCGAGCGUUGUCCGGAUUUAUUGGGCGUAAAGAGCUCGUAGGCGGUUUGUCGCGUCGGCCGUGAAAUCUCCACGCUUAACGUGGAGCGUGCGGUCGAUACGGGCAGACUUGGAGUUCGGUAGGGGAGACUGGAAUUCCUGGUGUAGCGGUGAAAGUGCGCAGAUAUCUGGAGGAACACCAGUGGUGAAGGCGAUCAUCUGGGGCUGUUCUGACGCUGAGGAGCGAAAGCUAGGGGAGCAAACAGG
rnacentral:rRNA from 1 species